CACUAUGCCUAGCCCUAAACAUUGAUAGCUAACUACAUUUCUAUCCGCCCGGGGACUACGAGCAUAAGCUUAAAACCCAAAGGACUUGGCGGUGCUUUAGAUCCACCUAGAGGAGCCUGUUCUAGAACCGAUAACCCCCGUUAAACCUCACCUUUUCUUGUUCUACCCGCCUAUAUACCACCGUCGUCAGCUUAUCCUGUGAAGGUCUACUAAUAAGCAGAAUUGGCACAGCCCAAAACGUCAGGUCGAGGUGUAGCGUACGAAAAGGGAAGAAAUGGGCUACAUUCUCUAUGCUAGAGAACACGAAUGAUAAACUGAAAAACGUAUCUGAAGGAGGAUUUAGUAGUAAGGAGGAAAUAGAGAGUCCUCCUGAAACUGGCCCUGAAGCGCGCACACACCGCCCGUCACUCUCCCCAAGCGCCCCUAUUUUAUUAAAUAAAACCUUUGAACUGCGAAGGGGAGGCAAGUCGUAA
rnacentral:rRNA from 1 species